UGAGGAAUAUUCCACAAUGGGCGAAAGCCUGAUGGAGCAAUGCCGCGUGCAGGAUGAAGGCCCUCGGGUCGUAAACUGCUUUUAUUAGAGAAGAAUAUGACGGUAACUAAUGAAUAAGGGACGGCUAACUACGUGCCAGCAGCCGCGGUCAUACGUAGGUCCCAAGCGUUAUCCGGAGUGACUGGGCGUAAAGAGUUGCGUAGGCGGCUAAGUAAGCGAGUAAUGAAAACUAUCGGCUCAACCGGUAGCCUGUUAUUCGAACUGCUUGGCUCGAGAUUAUCAGAGGUCGCUGGAAUUCCUAGUGUAGCAGUGAAAUGCGUAGAUAUUAGGAGGAAUACCGGUGGCGAAGGCGACUUUCUGGACUUUUACUGACGCUCAGGUACGAAAGCGUGGGGAGCAAACAGG
rnacentral:rRNA from 1 species